UACGUAGGGGGCAAGCGUUGUCCGGAUUUAUUGGGCGUAAAGAGCGUGUAGGCGGCCAUGUAGGGUCCGUUGUGAAAACUCGGAGGCUCAACCUCGAGACGCCGAUGGAAACCUGUGGCUAGAGUCCGGAAGAGGAGAGUGGAAUUCCUGGUGUAGCGGGUGAAAUGCGCAGAUAUCAGGAGAACACCCGUGGCUAAGGCGGCUCUCUAGUACGGGUACUGAGC
rnacentral:rRNA from 1 species